GUCUGUAGCCAUGCCACCUUGAAUGAGCCCAAUCUUGUCUGAUCUCAGAAGCUAAACAGGGUCCGGCCUGGGUAGUCCUUGAAUAGGAGAGAUGGUGAAUUAGCAUAUU
ensembl:rRNA 5S_rRNA 5S ribosomal RNA